UCCAAAUAAAAAUGUCGGCAAGUGAAAAAAACUGUCUAGACCUGACCUUACGGCUAUAUCGCAUUUUUUUGAUAGUACCGGAUGAUGGCUCAGAGGACAACCCUGGCAUAUGGUUUUACAUAAGACUUGCUAUUAUAAGCCUAUGUUGCAUGUUAACUUACCUGAGCACUAUAGCGCACUUGGGUGUUUCUGUUCAACGAAACUUGGACGUGGAAAAAGAUUUUGACCUAGUUAUAUUGCUUAGCCUCGCGGGCGCUUAUUGGUUUAACGCGUUUUUCUUCAAAAAUACGAAGACGUUGUUUAAAUUGCGCGACAGCAUUUCCAAAUUCACCAGUUCCAUAAAGCCCCCGGAGUGGGACAUUCUAACUAAAAAAAUGAACUUUUACUCAUUUCUCCACUUGAUUUAUAUAUUUUUCGCCAUACAUACCUACGUGAUUUUCAGCGUUUUCGACCCAUCAUGUGAGAAGAUAAACCGUCAGAAAAAUUUAACUGAAUUAUGCGGUCUGCUAGCUCCAGCCUGGUUUCCGAUUCAAAUCAGCGAAACUUACAAAAUGCCGAUCAUCCUGUUUCAAUAUCUGGUGUUUCUGUUUUCAUUUAUAGUCUGCGCCUUCAUCGCGUGGUCCGACGCCGAGAUCAUACAGUAUAUCAUCUUUAGAUUUCGGCAUAUGCAAAAACAAUUAAUUACUGCUUUCGCUGAGAGAAAUAAUAAAGUGAUGAGAAAAAAGUUUACCGCCGCAAUAAAAUAUCACAAUGAAAUUAUUAGAAUGGUAAAUUUACUGAACGAUUGCUUUGCGAGCACAAUUUUGCUGCACGUCUUGCUGACCGGGGCAAUAAUUGGCUGCUCUUUCUUUCGCAUGUUUUACGGUCAUUCUAUUCCUACAUCCAUGUUGUUUAUCGGUUGGGUUAACGGAUUGUCGAUGUCCACCAUUUCAGGCCAGAAGUUAAUGGACGAAGUAUUAUUUUUAGAGCGAAGAGUUAUUCAACAUUUUGCUAACAGCGGAUUGGUACAAAUUUGACAAUGAAAUUAAAAAGGAUUUCAUAUUCAUGCUUCUCAAGUGCAGAAACCCGAUCACUUCCCAAGCUCUGAUAGCGCCAAUGAACUACUCCUUAUUACUUGCCGUGUUAAAAGGUUCUUACUCCUAUAUAACACUUUUGAGCAAAGCAGUAUAGAAUAGAAGAUGAAAAUUUGAGAGUUCUUAAUCGUAUAACAGUUUCAAUGUAGUUAGUAGAUGCAUUUUACAAUAAUAAUCCAUUUAGAAGACACUUUUAUCCUAACAUCUAUAAACUAUAACUAUUCAACUGUAUUCUCUUAAUUAAAACAGUAGUAAAAGAGCAUAAUACACUAUAUUCACUGUAAUAAAAAUGUGUGUUCAUUUCAUACUAUAUUGUAUACGUUUUGGCAUCCCAAAUAAUUAAUUAACAUUUUAUUUGGUAAAUUAGGGUUAGCCUAAAUUAGACAUUAUGAAGUACAAACGCUUCUCGAAAUUAAACUUAUUUUAAAUUUUAAUGAUAUUGAGAUGAAGUUUUUACUGGGUUGUUGGGUUUCUAUUUGACUAUAUAUUGACAUAAAAAUAGGUGUAUGGUUACAUCUGGUGGCAAGGUUAGCAAUCGCAGCAACUAUCUUUUUGCGCCCUUCCCAACAACCAAGAAUGCAGAUAAAAGGGAAAUGGAUAUAAAUAUUAAGUUACGACAACUACAGUACAGAUGUCUUUUAUUUUUAUAAACAAUUUACCAAACAAACUAAUAUCACAAUCAAAAACUAAGUAUAUAUAAUUUAACGGAUGUUAUUUGUACAACAUUUUUAAGCAAUCUUUGGGAAUAUUAAAUAUCUUCGCUCACUAUAUAAAUAAGGAAACCUAUAUAUAAGAAACUUACCUACAGACGAAAUCGCAGAUAGAUAAAAUUAAAUAAUCUGAACAUGAUUUGGUUGUAGAAAAAUAAAAACGUAAAAACACUUAAAACUCGAAUGUAA